rnacentral:rRNA from 1 species
UACGGGGGGGGCAAGCGUUGUUCGGAAUUACUGGGCGUAAAGGGCUUGUAGGUGGCCAACUAAGUCAGACGUGAAAUCCCCCGGCUUAACCGGGGAACUGCGUCUGAUACUGGAUGGCUAGAGAUUGGGAGAGGGACGCGGAAUUCCAGGUGUAGCGGUGAAAUGCGUAGAUAUCUGGAGGAACACCGGUGGCGAAGGCGGCGUCCUGGACCAACACUGACACUGAAAAGCGAAAGCCAGGGGAGCAAACGGG